rnacentral:rRNA from 1 species
AGAGUUUGAUCAUGGCUCAGAUUGAACGCUGGCGGCAGGCCUAACACAUGCAAGUCGAGCGGUAGAGAGAAGCUUGCUUCUCUUGAGAGCGGCGGACGGGUGAGUAAUGCCUAGGAAUCUGCCUGGUAGUGGGGGAUAACGUUCGGAAACGGACGCUAAUACCGCAUACGUCCUACGGGAGAAAGCAGGGGACCUUCGGGCCUUGCGCUAUCAGAUGAGCCUAGGUCGGAUUAGCUAGUUGGUGAGGUAAUGGCUCACCAAGGCGACGAUCCGUAACUGGUCUGAGAGGAUGAUCAGUCACACUGGAACUGAGACACGGUCCAGACUCCUACGGGAGGCAGCAGUGGGGAAUAUUGGACAAUGGGCGAAAGCCUGAUCCAGCCAUGCCGCGUGUGUGAAGAAGGUCUUCGGAUUGUAAAGCACUUUAAGUUGGGAGGAAGGGUACUUACCUAAUACGUGAGUAUUUUGACGUUACCGACAGAAUAAGCACCGGCUAACUCUGUGCCAGCAGCCGCGGUAAUACAGAGGGUGCAAGCGUUAAUCGGAAUUACUGGGCGUAAAGCGCGCGUAGGUGGUUCGUUAAGUUGGAUGUGAAAUCCCCGGGCUCAACCUGGGAACUGCAUCCAAAACUGGCGAGCUAGAGUAUGGUAGAGGGUGGUGGAAUUUCCUGUGUAGCGGUGAAAUGCGUAGAUAUAGGAAGGAACACCAGUGGCGAAGGCGACCACCUGGACUGAUACUGACACUGAGGUGCGAAAGCGUGGGGAGCAAACAGGAUUAGAUACCCUGGUAGUCCACGCCGUAAACGAUGUCAACUAGCCGUUGGGAGCCUUGAGCUCUUAGUGGCGCAGCUAACGCAUUAAGUUGACCGCCUGGGGAGUACGGCCGCAAGGUUAAAACUCAAAUGAAUUGACGGGGGCCCGCACAAGCGGUGGAGCAUGUGGUUUAAU